rnacentral:lncRNA from 1 species
UUUUUUUUGUGCAUCAUAUAUUUUUUUCAUAUGGUGCACAAAAAAAAUGUACCACAUAGAAAAAAAUGAAUGGUGGACAAAAAAAGUGCACCAUCCAAUUUUAACUUCGGUUAACUAAGCCAUUAAAAAAAAAAAGGAUAGUGCACAAAAAAAGUGCACCGAGCCUAUUUUUGUUACCCUACAAUUUAAUGGCAUAUUUUUGUUGGCAUAUUUUGGUCGCGUGUUCAUAGGAUACACACAAUCCAAAUUUUAUGCUUUGGCCGCCCUCUCUUCCCCUUCAACUUUACUUUUUGUUUACAUAGUUUCAAAAAGAAGUCCUUAUCCUUCUUUGCUUCUAUGGAAUGACAACAAAGGCAUUCCUAGAGCAUUCGAGUCUUUUGUGAUGAAAAAAUAGAUUCGAGGCCGACGAUACCCAGUUCACUGCUCCACAAAAGGUGAAAAUCAAAACCUAUUCCUAUUUAUUUCGCUAAUUCUCUGGAUGUUAGAAAUCAUGUUUAGAUAUGGACUAAGUUCUUAAGUGUUGAUUUGUUUUUUUAAAUGAACUGUGUUAAGUAUUAGAUAAAACAUAUGUUAGGAAUUGAUUUUUAUUUAGUUCUUAGAAUCAAAAAUUUGAAGAAGCAUUCUUUAUUAGUAGGAGAUUUUGUCAUGAUUUAGAUUCAACUCUCAUAUAACUCAUGUCUCAAAUUUCACUUAGUAUUCCUUAAUGAUAUAUCAAAACUAUGUUUAUUGUUAAUGUCUCACUUAGCCAUGUUAACAUUUUUCUCACGUUGAACCAGCAGCUAAAAUUUGGUAGUAACCCUUCUUGAUGUGUCUAGUCUAGUUGGGUAAUAUAAGUACAAUGGUAUAAUAGUUAUUAUCUAAAAUAGUAUGUUAGUCACCAAGAUUUUUUAAGACUCCUGUACUUUUCACAUUUUCUAAAGAAAAUGUGGGGUAUGCCUUCACUAUUAGAAUCAUGUCAUAUGCGAAGAAUUCUCUUGUGGUCAGUUGAGGAAUAUUUGGUUUUGAAUACAUGAUUCAAGCCAUGCGCCCUUUUGUUUAUUUUGUAUUCAACUUUUGUAACUAUUUGAGAUUCAUAUUCCUCUUCUAUUUCUUAAUUUUUUCUUUGUUUUUACAUGAACAUUGGAGUUGAAGAGUCCUAUUUUAAGACUCGACGUUGCUGCAAGACCUGAAACGUGCAUCUGCAUCUUCACUCAUGUCUAUCACUCCUUUGAAACUCACUCCAAACAGAAAAUUGCAAAGACAACAAGGAGAUUUACGACUCUAUAUUGUUUUUUGGUCGUUAUUAUAUUGCGUUUGCUUUUUGUUGAUUUUUCUUGCACUUGUAUAACGUGACAAUUGUUUGUUCUUUGCUUUCUAUGUCAAGACUACCUCAAUAUUGUUAGUUAUUUAGUUAUAUAAUGUUUUUUAUUUGAUAAACGUUUUCAACUUUUAAGUAUAGCAAAUUGCAUCAUUUAGGACUACUAAAUUUGUAUUUUAAUAUUUUUGGGCUUACACCGUUACUGGAAAGUUUUUGAUAUAAAAGGUCUAAUGACACUGCAUUAGUUUUUUGUUUCUCUA